GAGUCAUUGGGACUAAACGAAACCUAAAGGCGCAAUGAAAGUGAAGGUCCGCCUAGCGCGGACCGAGGGAGGAUGGGCCGGUCUACGGGCCGGCCCCGCACUCCCGGGGCGUCUCGCUCUCAUCGCGAGAAGAGGCGCACCCAGAGCGUACACGCUGGGACCCGAAAGAUGGUGAACUAUGCCUGGUCAGGACGAAGUCAGGGGAAACCCUGAUGGAGGUCCGUAGCGAUUCUGACGUGCAAAUCGAUCGUCGGAACUGGGUAUAGGGGCGAAAGACUAAUCGAACCUUCUAGUAGCUGGUUCCCUCCGAAGUUUCCCUCAGGAUAGCUGGCGCUCGCCGUGGCGAGUCUCAUUCGGUAAAGCGAAUGAUUAGAGGCAUUGGGGCCGAAACGGCCUCAACCUAUUCUCAAACUUUAAAUGGGUGAGAUCUCCGGCUUGCUUGAAUAGUGAAGCCGCGAGUAUCGGAUCAGAGUGCCAAGUGGGCCACUUUUGGUAAGCAGAACUGGCGCUGUGGGAUGAACCAAACGCCGAGUUAAAGCGCCUAAAUCGACGCUUAUGGGAUACCAUGAAAGGCGUUGGUAACUUA
rnacentral:rRNA from 1 species